UACGGGGGGGGCAAGCGUUGUUCGGAAUUACUGGGCGUAAAGGGCUCGUAGGCGGCCAACUAAGUCAGACGUGAAAUCCCUCGGCUUAACCGGGGAACUGCGUCCGAUACUGGAUGGCUUGAGUUCGGGAGAGGGAUGCGGAAUUCCAGGUGUAGCGGUGAAAUGCGUAGAUAUCUGGAGGAACACCGGUGGCGAAGGCGGCAUCCUGGACCGACACUGACGCUGAGGAGCGAAAGCCAGGGGAGCAAACAGG
rnacentral:rRNA from 1 species